CGCCUGUUUAUCAAAAACAUCUUUUCUUGUUAGUUUUUGAAGUAUGGCCUGCCCGCUGACUUUGGUGUUGAAGGGCCGCGGUAUUUUGACCGUGCAAAGGUAGCAUAGUCAUUAGUUCUUUAAUUGUGAUCUGGUAUGAAUGGCUUGACGAGGCAUGGGCUGUCUUAAUUUUGAAUUGUUUAUUGAAUUUGGUCUUUGAGUUAAAAUUCUUAGAUGUUUUUAUGGGACGAGAAGACCCUAUAGAGUUUAACAUUUAUUAUGGUCCAUUUCUGUUUGUGAGGGUUCACUGGGCCGUCUAAUAUGUUUUGUUGGGGUGAUGGGAGGGAUUAAUUUAACCCCUCCUUUUAUUAUUAUAUUUAUUUAUAUUUGCUUGAUCCAUUUAUUUUGAUUGUAANAUUAAAUUACCUUAGGGAUAACAGCGUAA
rnacentral:rRNA from 1 species